GAUGAACGCUGGCGGCGUGCCUAAUACAUGCAAGUCGAGCGAACGGACGAGAAGCUUGCUUCUCUGAUGUUAGCGGCGGACGGGUGAGUAACACGUGGAUAACCUACCUAUAAGACUGGGAUAACUUCGGGAAACCGGAGCUAAUACCGGAUAAUAUUUUGAACCGCAUGGUUCAAAAGUGAAAGACGGUCUUGCUGUCACUUAUAGGUGGAUCCGCGCUGCAUUAGCUAGUUGGUAAGGUAACGGCUUACCAAGGCAACGAUGCAUAGCCGACCUGAGAGGGUGAUUGGCCACACUGGAACUGAGACACGGUCCAGACUCCUACGGGAGGCAGCAGUAGGGAAUCUUCCGCAAUGGGCGAAAGCCUGACGGAGCAACGCCGCGUGAGUGAUGAAGGUCUUCGGAUCGUAAAACUCUGUUAUUAGGGAAGAACAUAUGUGUAAGUAACUGUGCACAUCUUGACGGUACCUAAUCAGAAAGCCACGGCUAACUACGUG
rnacentral:rRNA from 1 species